rnacentral:rRNA from 1 species
UACGGGGGGGGCAAGCGUUGUUCGGAAUUACUGGGCGUAAAGGGCUCGUAGGUGGCCAACUAAGUCGGACGUGAAAUCCCUCAGCUUAACUGGGGAACUGCGUCCGAUACUGGAUGGCUUGAGUUUGGGAGAGGGAUGCGGAAUUCCAGGUGUAGCGGUGAAAUGCGUAGAUAUCCGGAGGAACACCGGUGGCGAAGGCGGCAUCCUGGACCAACACUGACACUGAGGAGCGAAAGCCAGGGGAGCAAACGGG